rnacentral:rRNA from 1 species
GACGAACGCUGGCGGCGUGCCUAACACAUGCAAGUCGAGCGCACCUUCGGGUGAGCGGCGGACGGGUUAGUAACGCGUGGGAAUAUACCCAAUGGUAAGGAAUAGCCACUGGAAACGGUGAGUAAUACCUUAUGUGCCCUAAGGGGGAAAGAUUUAUCGCCAUUGGAUUAGCCCGCGUUGGAUUAGGUAGUUGGUGGGGUAACGGCCUACCAAGCCUACGAUCCAUAGCUGGUUUGAGAGGAUGAUCAGCAACACUGGGACUGAGACACGGCCCAGACUCCUACGGGAGGCAGCAGUGGGGAAUCUUAGACAAUGGGGGAAACCCUGAUCUAGCCAUGCCGCGUGAGUGACGAAGGCCUUAGGGUCGUAAAGCUCUUUCGCCAGGGAUGAUAAUGACAGUACCUGGUAAAAACCCCGGUAACUCCGUGCC